AUUGAACGCUGGCGGCAGGCCUAACACAUGCAAGUCGAGCGGAUGAAGGGAGCUUGCUCCUGGAUUCAGCGGCGGACGGGUGAGUAAUGCCUAGGAAUCUGCCUGGUAGUGGGGGAUAACGUCCGGAAACGGGCGCUAAUACCGCAUACGUCCUGAGGGAGAAAGUGGGGGAUCUUCGGACCUCACGCUAUCAGAUGAGCCUAGGUCGGAUUAGCUAGUUGGUGGGGUAAAGGCCUACCAAGGCGACGAUCCGUAACUGGUCUGAGAGGAUGAUCAGCCACACUGGAACUGAGACACGGUCCAGACUCCUACGGGAGGCAGCAGUGGGGAAUAUUGGACAAUGGGCGAAAGCCCGAUCCAGCCAUGCCGCGUGUGUGAAGAAGGUCUUCGGAUUGUAAAGCACUUUAAGUUGGGAGGAAGGGCAGUAAGUUAAUACCUUGCUGUUUUGACGUUACCAACAGAAUAAGCACCGGCUAACUUCGUG
rnacentral:rRNA from 1 species